UACAGAGGGUGCAAGCGUUAAUCGGAUUUACUGGGCGUAAAGCGUGCGUAGGCGGUUCGUUAAGUCGAUUGUGAAAGCCCUGGGCUCAACCUAGGAAUUGCAGUCGAUACUGGCGAGCUAGAGAACGGUAGAGGGAGGCGGAACUCCAGGUGUAGCAGUGAAAUGCGUAGAUAUCUGGAAGAACACCGAUGGCGAAGGCAACCUCCUGGGCCUGUUCUGACGCUGAGGCACGAAAGCGUGGGGAG
rnacentral:rRNA from 1 species